rnacentral:rRNA from 1 species
UACGAAGGGGGCUAGCGUUGUUCGGAAUUACUGGGCGUAAAGCGCGCGCAGGCGGCUAUCCAAGUCAGUGGUGAAAGCCCGGAGCUCAACUCCGGAACUGCCAUUGAAACUGUUUAGCUUGAGGAUGAGAGAGGUGAGUGGAAUUCCUGGUGUAGCGGUGAAAUGCGUAGAUAUCAGGAGGAACACCUGUGGCGAAAGCGGCUCACUGGACCAUGACUGACGCUGAUGCACGAAAGCUAGGGGAGCAAACAGG